UACAGAGGGUGCAAGCGUUGUUCGGAAUUAUUGGGCGUAAAGCGCGUGUAGGCGGCCAAGCAAGUCGGGUGUGAAAGCCCUCAGCUUAACUGAGGAAGUGCGCCCCGAAACUACGUGGCUUGAGUACCAGAGAGGGUGGCGGAAUUCCCCGGUGUAGAGGGUGAAAUUCGUAGAUAUCAGGAAAGAACACCCAAUGGCGAAGGGCAGCCUCUCGUGGGGACCGGGUACCUGGAAGCGCCAUGG
rnacentral:rRNA from 1 species